UAACAGGCUGAUACCGCCCAAGAGUUCAUAUCGACGGCGGUGUUUGGCACCUCGAUGUCGGCUCAUCACAUCCUGGGGCUGAAGUAGGUCCCAAGGGUAUGGCUGUUCGCCAUUUAAAGUGGUACGCGAGCUGGGUUUAGAACGUCGUGAGACAGUUCGGUCCCUAUCUGCCGUGGGCGCUGGAGAACUGAGGGGGGCUGCUCCUAGUACGAGAGGACCGGAGUGGACGCAUCACUGGUGUUCGGGUUGUCAUGCCAAUGGCACUGCCCGGUAGCUAAAUGCGGAAGAGAUAAGUGCUGAAAGCAUCUAAGCACGAAACUUGCCCCGAGAUGAGUUCUCCCUGAGACUUUAGGUCUCCUGAAGGAACGUUGAAGACGACGACGUUGAUAGGCCGGGUGUGUAAGCGCAGCGAUGCGUUGAGCUAACCGGUACUAAUGAACCGUGAGGCUUAACCUUAC
rnacentral:rRNA from 1 species